UUUGAAUUUGUUUUCCACGAUAAUGAUUUCGCCGACCGCCUGUGCGAGUAUUUAUGGCGUCGAUUUUGCCGCAAAAACAAAGUCGAUAUGAUGGAAUCAUUAAUGGAGGCAAUUAAGAAACAAUAUAUUUUUAAAUAAGGUUGGUAGUAUGAUACAUAGGAACUUUGAAAGCUCAUCUAUGCGGGCCAAUCAAAUAAUAGAUGGAAGCAACAUGGCGUCAAAGUAGCGUGUAAAAUACCCUAAAAACGCGAACUUUACAUACUCAUAACUUUUGAACCGCUAAUUUCCUAAAGUUACGACCUACAUUUAUGGAUUUUACGUGUCAAAAACUAUUAAAGAGCAAAAAAAAA